UACGAAGGGGGCUAGCGUUGCUCGGAAUCACUGGGCGUAAAGCGCACGUAGGCGGCUUCUUAAGUCAGGGGUGAAAUCCUGGAGCUCAACUCCAGAACUGCCUUUGAUACUGGGAGGCUCGAGUCCGGGAGAGAUGAGUGGAACUGCGAGUGUAGAGGUGAAAUUCGUAGAUAUUCGCAAGAACACCAGUGGCGAAGGCGGCUCACUGGCCCGGUACUGACGCUGAGGUGCGAAAAGCGUGGGGAGCAAACAGGG
rnacentral:rRNA from 1 species